AGACAUUUCUUUGUGUGAGCUAGCCUUCCAGCUGGAGCACACUCAACACCUUUCCAUUUGCUGAAAAGGGAAAUGAUUCUUGAACCAAAUAAUGACUAUGGCUUUCAAUCAACAGUAUUUCCUAUGGUAUGAGUAAUCUCACAGUUCAAAGCCCAAGUUCUGUUAAAGGAAGGGAGAAGAUUGGCUGGAGUUCUGCCUGUUUCACUUGAAGUAUGUUGGUUGGCCAGGCAAACAAAAAAUGCAUGACAUCGUCAGCAAUAGCGACCUUUAUCUGAGUAUAAGGCAAUGAUAAGAUAUGGAGUAUGGAAUGAAAAAUGGCUUAUUAUAAAAUAAGAGUGAAAAUUACAGACCGAAAUCGAAUACAGAUAAGUGAAGAGUUCUCCAAUUAAGAAGAGAAAAAAAUCAACUGCAUGAGAGAUACCUGGCUUGAUAAUACAGUUACGACCUUGGUAUCAUCCCAGGAUCAUGUGAUCAAAAUUCAAAUGCUUGGUAACUGGUUCAUGCUUACGACUGUUGCUGUGUCCCAAGCUCACGUGAUCACCUUUUGCAACCUAAAAGGUGCUAAAAAG